rnacentral:lncRNA from 1 species
AUGCCCGAGGCAGGAGCCUUUGUGAAGGGAAGUUUGCUGAGGCUCAGGAUUCUGGAGUUUCAAUGUCCGGGAGCCCCAUCGGCCAACACACUGCUGCUGUGCAGAACAUCGCAUGAGAGGAGGAAAGAAGAGGAAGGGGAGUUUCCUGAUCAGAAGCUUUCCUGGAGAGAAGAGGACAAACCCAAAAACUAUCCUUCAGCUUCUGAAAAGACAAAAACAAGUCUGCAGCUGUCUUGGUUUUCACCAUGUCCACAUGUGCUUGCUGAGAGACAAAACAGAAUACAGCAUUUAAUUUACUUUCCAGAAUUCAUAUAAAUAUGAAAGAAGGUAAGCAAGAUACACAGGAAUCAAAAAUACAUAGCUUGGUGGGAGAGCACGUGCCUAAAAUGUGCAAGGCUCUAAAUUUGACCACUAAUGCUACAAAAAAAGAAAAGAAAAAAUAAUUUUAUAUUGAGUAUGGUGGCACAUGUAGCUAAUGUCAGAACUUUGGAAGGCUGAGGCAGGAGGAUUGCAAGUUUCAACCAGAUAAAACAUGUAAAAAGGGCUGAGAAUAUAGCUCAGUGUGGAGGCCCUGGGCACAAACCCCAGCACAUAAGCAGAUUUCUAAGCAGAUAACUACACGAAAGCAUGUAGCAGACAUGACACUGAGCAAAACGGCCAGGCAUGGAGGAGCACCUUCUCGUGUCUCCGUGCACACAGCCGGAGAACAGGCCUCCCAGCCCGGCGGUGCCUGGCCCUGUGUCCCUGAGAAGGGGCUUGUAGGGGCAGAGGCUGUUGUCAUCCGGACACUGGAGCAGCAGCCUCCUGCCGCCCUGAGCUGGCCCGAUGGCAGUGUGCCGUUGUGCUGCCGCUGUCUGGACAGUGUAGGAGUCCCGCA